UAAUUAUAUAAUUAUAGCGGUGUUUGUGAUGGAUUCUUAUUUAAUGCUAUUACAAUAGUGUUUAACCCAGUGUUAGUUGGGGGAAAUGUUGUUAUUUGUAGAUUAAAACUGUGCCAGCGUUAGCGGUUAUACAGUUUACAGAUAUUAUAAUCAUUGGGGGAGUUUAAAGUCUUUUAGUGUAGGUGAAAUUAAGCUGGGGUUUUAAAUAGUGUUAAUUAAUAUUGUGAAAUGGAUUAGAUACCCAUGUAAUAGUAUAAUAGGGUUUGAGGAAUAUUUAAAUAAUAUGGCGGUACUUUUAUGCAGUAGGGGGACUUGGUUGGAUAGUAAACAUGCAGAAACAGAAUAGUGGUGGCUUCUUGUAUGAUUGUUUUGUGUUUAGAUAGCGCUUAAACAAAUAGCAUAGGGGGUAUAUGGUGUUAAACUGAGUUUUAGUUGUAGUAAGUAUACAGGAUUUACAAGUAGCGACAAAACCGUGAAAGAUUUUAAAUGUAAGUACAUAUCGCCCGUCAACACCUCCUAGGUGUAAGUCGUAACAUAGUGAUUCUACUUGAAAGUGGGGUUUCAGAUUA
rnacentral:rRNA from 1 species